rnacentral:rRNA from 1 species
GAUGAACGCUGGCGGCGUGCCUAAUCCAUGCAAGUCGAGCGAACGGACGAGAAGCUUGCUUCUCUGAUGUUAGCGGCGGACGGGUGGGUAACACGUGGAUAACCUACCUAUAAGACUGGGAUAACUUCGGGAAACCGGAGCUAAUACCGGAUAAUAUUUUGAACCGCAUGGUUCAAAAGUGAAAGACGGUCUUGCUGUCACUUAUAGAUGGAUCCGCGCUGCAUUAGCUAGUUGGUAAGGUAACGGCUUACCAAGGCAACGAUGCAUAGCCGACCUGAGAGGGUGAUCGGCCACACUGGAACUGAGACACGGUCCAGACUCCUACGGGAGGCAGCAGUAGGGAAUCUUCCGCAAUGGGCGAAAGCCUGACGGAGCAACGCCGCGUGAGUGAUGAAGGUCUUCGGAUCGUAAAACUCUGUUAUUAGGGAAGAACAUAUGUGUAAGUAACUGUGCACAUCUUGACGGUACCUAAUCAGAAAGCCACGGCUAACUACGUG